rnacentral:sRNA from 1 species
UCAACUGUUACUGCUAGGAGGAAGUUACUUUUUAAAAAAUAUUUCCAUAGAUACUGUUAGACUAAAAGAAACAGGUAGAUGCUUCAAAUAGAAUAAUAAACUGUUAAAUUCAGAAAGCCACUAUAUAUAAAGGAAAAAGACAUUGUACUUAAGGAUGCAAUUACUUUCUUUUUCCUGUUACAAUGUUCUAGGCCAGCUGCUUUUCUGCUUACCAUCAUUUAUGCUUAUAACUAAAGCAUGUCUCAUCUUUAAGACUAAUUUUUAUUUAUUUGUUUCUGUAGCUGUUUCUGUACCAAAUUCUACGUGGUUUGGCAUAUUGCCAUAGAAGAAAGGUAUUGCAUCGAGAUUUGAAACCACAGAACCUCCUCAUUAAUGAAAAAGGAGAAUUAAAGCUAGCAGAUUUUGGACUAGCCCGAGCCAAGUCGGUUCCCACAAAGACCUACUCAAAUGAAGUUGUCACACUAUGGUACCGGCCACCUGAUGUGCUUCUUGGUUCCUCGGAGUACUCAACACAGAUUGACAUGUGGGGUGUUGGUUGCAUUUUCUUUGAAAUGGCUUCUGGAAGACCUUUAUUU